rnacentral:misc_RNA from 1 species
UACGAGGGGUCCUAACGUUGCUCGGAAUCAUUGGGCGUAAAGCGGGUGCAGGCGGCUGGGUAAGUCAGAAGUGAAAGCCCUGGGCUCAACCCAGGAAGUGCUUUUGAUACUGCUCAGCUUGAGUGUGGGAGAGGGUAGUGGAAUUCCAGGUGUAGUGGUGAAAUACGUAGAUAUCUGGAGGAACACCGGUGGCGAAGGCGGCUACCUGGCCCAACACUGACGCUCAGGCCCGAAAGCGUGGGGAGCAAACAGG